AGGGAUUGAGGGGGGAAGCCUGAUGCAGCAACGCCGCGUGAGUGAUGAAGGCCUUCGGGUUGUAAAGCUCUGUCUUUUGGGACGAUAAUGACGGUACCAAAGGAGGAAGCCACGGCUAACUACGUGCCAGCAGCCGCGGUAAUACGUAGCGUGGCAAGCGUUGUCCGGAUUUACUGGGCGUAAAGAAUGCGUCGGCGGAUACUUAAGUCAGAUGUGAAAUACCCGGGCUCAACUUGGGUGCUGCAUUUGAAACUGGGUGUCUAGAGUGCGGGAGAGGAAAGUGGAAUUCCUAGUGUAGCGGUGAAAUGCGUAGAGAUUAGGAAGAACACCAGUGGCGAAGGCGACUUUCUGGACCGUAACUGACGCUGAGGCAUGAAAGCGUGGGGAGCAAACAGGAUUAGAUACCCUGGUAGUCCACGCCGUAAACGAUGGGUACUAGGUGUAGGGGGUAUCGACUCCCUCUGUGCCGCAGUUAACACAAUAAGUACCCCGCCUGGGGAGUACGGUCGCAAGAUUAAAACUCAAAGGAAAUUUGAGGGGGA
rnacentral:rRNA from 1 species